CUUGAGGGAGAAGGAGGCCUGGAAUGAAGGCAAGGAUUCACUAUUAAUGAUAAAGCCCAGGAGGCCAGGUGUAGCUGUGGACUGAGACCAUACCUUGUGCCCAAUGUGGGGAAGGAGAACCAAAAAUGCUGCCUGCUUCCUGGGCAACAAGAGGGACUCGGGCACUGGGCAUUGUAAAAAAAAUAUGGUAGAAUCAGGAAGAGAAGCCAUAUUCUUCAGGCAUCCUGGCCAAGAAAUUUGUCUUACCCAGAUAGGAGAAAGCCUGAAUGCUAGCCCCAUGCAAAGCAAUAAGGGAACCAGAAAAACCCUGUAUGAAAAAGACCCUCUGAUAAAUGGAUUGGCGAGGGUGCCAGGGUCAACCCAUAAAUAAAAAGGUCCUAUCACAAGAGUCUGAGGCCAACUGACCUGGAUCAUUAGCCUGAGCAUACCUGGGUAGAUGGCAGCAACACUGCAGCAGCCCCAUCGUGGUAGGGCCAGGAAGGACUGCCCCAGGAAGGUCACCAGACCACUGAUCCCAUGGAGGUCCCAUCUCCUGCUGUGUUCUGCUCAUCUACAUCUGGCCUACUUCCCCUCUUGACAAUUCUAUUUUGUUGGUACCAUACAUAAAGGUGACAUUAAAAGGAAAACUGGGGUCUCUGACAACUGCUCCUCCAGAGAUUUUUUGUGUGUUUUGUUUUUGUUUUAGCAUCUCUUAACUGUACUGUGACCAGAGGGCCUCAAAGGGGAGAAUUCUAAUUUGCAAGAGGGGAGAAAGGACCUAAU
rnacentral:lncRNA from 1 species